CCUACGGGAGGCAGCAGUGGGGAAUUUUGGACAAUGGGCGAAAGCCUGAUCCAGCAAUGCCGCGUGAGUGAAGAAGGCCUUCGGGUUGUAAAGCUCUUUUGUCAGGGAAGAAACGGUGAGAGCUAAUAUCUCUUGCUAAUGACGGUACCUGAAGAAUAAGCACCGGCUAACUACGUGCCAGCAGCCGCGGUAAUACGUAGGGUGCAAGCGUUAAUCGGAAUUACUGGGCGUAAAGCGUGCGCAGGCGGUUUUUGAAGUCUGAUGUGAAAUCCCCGGGNUCAACCUGGGAAUUGCAUG
rnacentral:rRNA from 1 species